AACGAACGCUGGCGGCAUGCCUAACACAUGCAAGUCGAACGAGACCUUCGGGUCUAGUGGCGCACGGGUGCGUAACGCGUGGGAAUCUGCCCCUUGGUUCGGAAUAACUUCGGGAAACUGAAGCUAAUACCGGAUAAUGACGUAAGUCCAAAGAUUUAUCGCCAAGGGAUGAGCCCGCGUAGGAUUAGCUAGUUGGUGGGGUAAAGGCUCACCAAGGCGACGAUCCUUAGCUGGUCUGAGAGGAUGAUCAGCCACACUGGGACUGAGACACAGCCCAGACUCCUACGGGAGGCAGCAGUGGGGAAUAUUGGACAAUGGGCGAAAGCCUGAUCCAGCAAUGCCGCGUGAGUGAUGAAGGCCUUAGGGUUGUAAAGCU
rnacentral:rRNA from 1 species